rnacentral:rRNA from 1 species
UACGGGGGGGGGCAAGCGUUGUUCGGAAUUACUGGGCGUAAAGGGCUCGUAGGCGGCCAACUAAGUCGGAUGUGAAAUCCCCAGGCUUAACCUGGGAACUGCAUCCGAUACUGGAUGGCUUGAAUUCGGGAGAGGGAUGCAGAAUUCCAGGUGUAGCGGUGAAAUGCGUAGAUAUCGGAAGGAACAUCAGUGGCGAAAGCGGCUUCCUGGACCAGUACCGACGUCAGGCACGAAAGCGUGGGGAGCAAACAGG